UAAACCCUAGCGAGCUUCCACGGCCGACCACUCCACCAUCUGCGAAAUCGGAAAACCACUCACGCUCAGCCGAAACCACCAUAAUCAAUUCCUUGAGGUAUUGCUCCUGGAGUAAUGGGAUCUCUUGCCACUCACUUUGGAGUCCACAAAGAAUUUCACGAGCCAGGCAUUGAGUAUCAUGCCAGUGGAUCGCCUCCACGGCCUUUUCUCUGGCCUCUGGUCCUAUCCAAAUUACGCCUGCUGCUGUCGUGAAACUGCGAUGUAGGCUGCUCAUGUUGGAAACUUUAAUUACUUGCUCGUUCAGAAGGAGUCGAAUCUACACCGCUAUGCAAAGUAUGCGGAAGGGACAAAGAGUGCAAAGUAUGCAGAAGGGACAAACAGUGUCGAUUCUGCAGCGACGAUUGGCUCAGCUUCUCACAUUGUGAGAAGAUUUACACAGGCCACAGCGAGUGCCGCAAAUACCCAAAGGUAGAAGGGGCAAACGCAAACGAAAUUGCCCCAACUCUAAAGGAGGAGCAAUGGGAGAGUUUGUCAUGGUGGGGAGGCGGAAGGGCUUCACGCAAGCUCUUCUUUUGGAAGGAAGGUCUUGCAUCUCCCCUGUCUUCUAAUGCCGCCAGAGAAUGUCUAGAGCUUCUCCUACUCAGUAUCUUUCAGUUUGCUAGCUUGGUUGCGCACUUGAGGUCAUAAGAAGAUUGGAGGGGUGAAAUAUCCGGACGGCACGGAAUACGCCAAGAGGACCAAUAGAAGGCGUCAUUUCCAAGUCUUUUUAUAGCAUGAAACUCCGAUUGAGGCCGCUCACAUUGGAAGAUUGAAGUAUUUGCUCCUUCACGUUGGUCUAUUUCCUUCACUGUGUAUUCAUCAAUUUCCUAUAUGUAGUAUACAUAUUAAAGAUUAUCUAGGCAGAGGCCGUUGGAGAUUGUACUAUUAGGCGAUGCCAUUCAAAGUGUGCGGUCUAAGAGCAUGAGCAACUAGGAGUACUAGCAGUAGUAGUGAACUUUGCACAAAGAUUGCACACAGUAUUGCAAAGAGUGGUGUCUUACACAGAGUCGUUAAGGUGGUUGAAGCAGAGGCGUUCAAGGUGGAGGUGGACAAGAGGGGGCGGAGAUGAAGAAAUCGAUUCCACACCAAAAACCUGAGAAAUUGAUUUGAAUUUAAACGAAGAGGCCGAGGAAGCCAGCACGAGCGCCGCAAAGACAAUGAGAUGGUUCGAUGUGAAGGAGGAUCGAUUCGAGAAGCUUCUCCCUUCUUCCAUGACUCCAUGUUGUUGUUUGAUGAUAUCCAUUUUGCACUCAGGAUUGAAGGAAUAGCUGAAGAAUGGUCAGUAGGCUACUCAUGCCGGAGAGUCAGAGCUGGAACUCGAGAUAUUUCAGUUGCAAAGUAUUGAAGAAGAGGGGUUGGAGGCGAUGGUGGUAGUAUGGUGGAGGAGUGUUUGAAUGAGUUUGUAGUUGAUGGGAAUGGUGAUGAGUGCUAUCUGGAUAAAGCAAAGAAGAAGGUUGGAGAUGAAGAAAUCGAUUCCACACCAAAAACCAGAGAAAUUGAUUUGAAACAAUGAGAUGGUUCGAUUUGAACAUCGAAUUGUAGGAGGAUCAAUUCGAGGAGCAGUUGUCAGGGAUGGUGGUUAAUGACAAGGGGAAGGCCAUCAAUGAAGAAGAGGAUGACGAUUGACGACUGCAUGAUUGUACUAUUAUACAAUGCCAUUCAAGAUUGUGUUGUCUAAGAGCAUGAACAACUAGGAGUACUAUUAGUGCACUUCACUAGCACAAAGAUUGUACACAGUCUUACACAAAGUGGUUAACGUGGUUGAAUCAAAGGCAUUCAUGGCGGAUGUAGGCAUGAGGGGGAGGAGACGAUGAAAUCGAUUCCACACCAAAAACCGGAGAAAUUGAUCUGAAUCUGGAUUUAAACGAAGAUGUUGGGGAAGCCAACACGAGCGCCAUGAGAACGGUGCCAUGGAAUUGCUGGAGAAUGGACAAUAGAAGCAUUGAAGAAUAGGGGUGGAGGCAAUGGUGGUAGUAUGGUGGACUGAGGCCAUGCUUGGUAUGAUGGAAUGGAAUGGAGGUUGGAAUAGAAUGAAGAUAGGAAUGAAAUAUCAAUUUCCUUGGAUUUCCUUUGCAUUUUCAUCCAUUCACUCAUUCAUUCCAUCACACCAAGCAAAUGAAUAGAAUGGAAGUAGGAAUCACAUUCCAUUCCACCAUUCCAUUCCAUCAUACCAAGUAGCCCCCGAGUGUUUGAAUGUGUUUGUUGUUGAUGGAAUGGCGAUGAUUGCUAUCUAGAUAAGCAAAGAAGAAGGGCGGAGACGAAGAAAUCGAUUCCACACCAAAAACCAGAGAAAUUGAUUUGCAACAAUGAGAUGGCACGACUUGAACAUCACAUUGAAGGAGGAUCAAUUCGAGGAGCAGUUGUCAGCAAUGGUGGUCGACAAUAAAGGGAGUUGGCCUCAAGAUGGUCUGCUGAAGACAACCAACAAGUCAGCAGAACAGAUCACAGGGAGCCGUUGACGGUGAUCUCAAACAAGCAUGUUGCGUUUUCUUGUUCAAAUCUAUCAAAUCUCAGAUGUGUGAGUGGUGCUUUCGUUGCAAGGUUCCUGAUUUAGAAAGGGUUUGAUUGUUCAUAACAAGCAAGUGUUCGAGCAUAUGAGACUUUCUCAAACCGUGCUUUAGGUAUCAUGACAGGGAAUAAAUAGUAGGACAAACCAUCCUAUUGAUAUCGUAUGGCAUGGUAUUUUGAUGAAGGAUCGCCUCCAAGGCCUUUUAUCUGGCCCUUGCUCAGAUCGAAGUUAAUUAUUCCGACUUCAGCGUAAAACUGUGUUGGAGGCUGCUCAUAUUGGACACUCGCAAGUGUUUACUCAUUCAGUUAAACUGUUUAUAGGCAGAGGUCAUUGAGCCACUAGUAAAUACUAUGAAUCCAUAUGACAAUUUUCUCUCCAACAAUUCUCUGACAAGUGCGAGAAGCUUCCAGCGAUGGUUCGCAAUGCUGAGAUGGUAUUAUUGCAUCAUGUUUAGUACGCAGAACAGUUACUACAUUAUUGUUUGUUACACAAACUUGACAAAGUUUACUCCUUAGCCAGCAUGUCAUAAAACACCUCUGGCUUCUUGCAUCCUGAUA